UUUCUUCCACAGAUGAUUUUAAACCAGCAUCCAUAGAUACAUCCUGUGAAGGAGAAUUACAAGUAGGAAAAGGAGAUGAGGUUACCAUCACAUUACCACACAUACCAGGCUCCACUCCACCAAUGACAGUGUUUAAGGGCAACAAAAGGCCGUAUCAGAAAGACUGCGUUCUCAUCAUCAACCAUGACACUGGAGAGUUUAUGUUGGAAAAGCUCAGCAGCAGCA